rnacentral:tRNA from 1 species
GGAUUGUGGUUCAAUGGUAGAGCAUUUGCCUAGCACGUGCAAGGUGUUGGGUUCGAUCCUCAUCACCA